AUCAAAAUCGCUUUACAGUUUGGGAUUAGAAUACCAUCUUUAGAUGGAAGAGAGACCUGCGAGCAAGGAGAUCUCAAGCAGCUCAUUAUGUGGGGGAUAAACCACAAUGUGAGCUGGUCCUUCAGCACCUCCAUCUUUGACAUCCUAAUGGACAUCUUCCUGGCUCCAGAAGAGUCUAUCUGCACAUAUCCAGGACCAGAGUGCCAGAAUCCUCAAAGGGUUCCCUUCCAUCGCAGCACCUCAGAGGCAAAAGACGACACUGAUACCAAUCACG